CAUCUCGCGGACCACUUGUGAUUAUACGCUGACGUCGUACAUCGGAAAGGCGGUUUUUGUGUGAAGAAAUUUCGACGGGAACUUUAUACCGCAAUGCGACUUUAUACGGGGCCAGGCUAUUUGACAGAUGGUUUCAUUUGUUGAUUUCUGUACCCUGUUUUUGUGUACGUAGUUUUGGUCUAAUUUAAUUUGAUGAGCCAUAAUAUUUAGAACUGAGUAUUUCGCCGAGGGUGACACUUUUGUUGUACAAAGGUAACGACAUGAUAAUCCUGGCAUGACGACUUAUCAUUAAACGACAGCGACAACACUAAUUCAUCUAACAUUAACAAUUCUCAAAGACAAUUUAUUAAAAUAUUGUGAUAUGCAAUGAGCGCCAAUCUCCAAUUCAAAUUUUUCUUAAAUCCUAUUUACGGCGUGCCCAUUUCAUACUGAAGACAUGAUGCGUUAGUAUUGAUCAAAUUAAUUUGUCAGUAAAAGUUUCAAAAGUUUCGAGUUUAUUGGGGAAUGCAUCAGUUUCUAAAUAAA